rnacentral:rRNA from 1 species
AGCGAACGUUUGCGGCGGGCCUAACACAUGCAAGUCGAACGCACUAGCAAUAGUGAGUGGCGCACGGGUGCGUAACACGUGGGUAAUCAACCCUUCAGCUUGGGAUAACGACUUGAAAGGGUCGCUAAUACCGGAUACGGCGAGAGAGGCUUCGGCAUUUCUCGAGAAAGCCUCGCAAGGGGCACUGAAGGACGAGCCUGCGGCCCAUCAGCUAGUUGGUGAGGUAAGAGCUCACCAAGGCGAAGACGGGUAGCUGGUCUGAGAGGAUGAUCAGCCACACUGGAACUGAGACACGGUCCAGACUCCUACGGGAGGCAGCAGUGGGGGAAUAUUGCGCAAUGGGCGAAAGCCUGACGCAGCCACGCCGCGUGAGCGAUGAAGGCCUCGGGUCGUAAGACUCUGUUGGGGGAGAGACGAAGAAAGCCCGUGAAGAGCGGGCC